rnacentral:rRNA from 1 species
AUGGAGGCGAGCUCAGUGCCUCGCCAGAGUUCCACCCAGGAGCCGGAUGGCCCAUGCGACGGAGCGGACCGCAUCAGCGCCCUCCCCGACGACCUGCUCCUCGACGUCCUCGCCCGCCUCCCCUGCGCCGGCGCCGCCGCCCGGACCGGCGUCCUCUCCCGCCGGUGGAGCGGCCUCUGGGCCCGCCUCCGCCAGAUCGUCUUCCGCGACGUGCCCUUUCCCUCGCUGGAGGCGGCGCUCGUCCGCAUCCCUACUCCCCCGCCAGCGGUUUCCCUCAUCGAGAUCCGCGUUCCCCCGAAGCAGCGGCGCAGGGGAGAAUCCGCGUUCCCCAAACCCAACCAGAACCAGGACAGGGCGGGCAGCGCCGUCGUCAAGUCGCUGCUCCGCGCCGUCGCGCGGCUCGCGCCGGAGAAGCUCGUCUUCCGCCUUCCCUCCUACUUAAUCGGCCGUCACCGCCUCCCCAUCGACCUGCCUCGCUUUGACGGCGCCACCUCCAUCGCGCUGGACUUUCCCUCCCCCUUCUCCCUACGCGUGCCGGCCGGUGCCAAUUUCCCCGCACUGGAGGCGCUGUCCCUGACGUACUGCAUUACCGACCUAGACGCCUGGCUCUCCUGCUGCCCGCGCUUGCGCAAGCUCCGCCUCUGCAGGGCUUUGUUUCCUAACCAUAAGUGCGACAUUAGGGUCAACUCCCCGUCGCUGCAGGAGCUUGUUGUGUACCGCGAGCUCAGCUUGACACAGCAUGUCGACGUCGUUGCGCCAGCGCUCAAGGAAUUGACCCUGUCAUUUAGCACAAAGAAGCUGAUCAGCAUCUCUGUCUUGGCUCCAUUGGUGGAAAAGGUUUCGUGGCACUGCUGCUACUCGGGGUCGUAUAUUGUGUUUGGUCUUUGGGGCAUCAACAAGCUGCAGCUACAGACGGCAGAGAGACAAGGACAGCUAUCCUCGCUGCAAAUUCAUGCCUACGCGGACACGUCUUUUUUGCACGCCGAGGCGGGCAACUUCGCGCAGGAGAUAGAGAAGCAUAUGGUUGCGGCCUUCUCUGUUUUAGAGCUGCAUCUCACAGCAAAGGGGCAUGCUUUUGCAGGGUUUGUGUUUCAUCUCCUUGGGAUGGAUCGGGUUGGUUGUGGUACACAGAGUCUUAAGGUCAUCCUACGGAAAUCAGCGAUGAAAGGAGGAUGCUCACCACUUUGUCCUUGUGAGUUUCCGAACUGGAAACCCCAAAUUAUCUGCUUGGCUGCUCUCGAAGAAGUGGAGUUCAAUGGCUUCGAAGGAGAGGAUCAUGAGUUUGAUUUACUGAAACUGAUACUCGGAUGUGCACCGAUGCUAAAAAGAAUGAUUGUGAAGCUGUCACAGGAGACCUCGGCAAGUAAUGAUGGAUGCACAAAGAUAUACAACAUCUUCGAGGCAUGUUCUUCCGUGGAAUGUGAUGUUUAUGGCAACUCUGGGUUAAUGCUUGGUUGCUUCAAUUGA